ACAGCCAGGUGCCGCUGAGAGAGGUGAAGAACCAGAGACAGCAGGAGAGACACAGUGGGGAUCUCGGAGCAGGAGUGUGGGUGGCCAGGAGCCUGGGGCCGCCCGAGGGACGUGCUUACAUGGGAUACUGUCUGUGAGGCGCUUGGAACCGUACCUGAUGGUGGGAAGCAAUCAGUAAAGACCGUUACUGCCACCUGCUGAAGUCUUGCCUUUUCCAGUCCCCACUGCUCAGGGUCUCCCGCCCCGGCACCGUUCAGGCUGGACGAUCGCUCUCCUGCUCCCGUCUCACCCCUACAUCUCCUCUCCACGUGCUGCCCGAUGGAGCCUUAGGAAACGAAGAGCUGAGGUCCAGAGAGGGGAAGUGACUUGCCCAAGGUCCCCGGCCAAGUGGACGAGCUGAGAUUGGAAUCUCGUGAUCCAGAAGCCAAAGCUCGCUGCCAGCCCUUCGUGGUGCCAUGAUGGCUCAGCCCUGGAUGGCCUGUUGGAGCGUCAGUCCCUGUGGGUCAAGGAGAUGCCCGUGGCUUGGUCCCGUGUCCCUCUGGCCUGGCAUUAGCCGUAUCACCCGUUGGGAUGGUUGCAAAAUCCCCCUCGCUUUAGCAGUCGAUAAAGAGUGCCCAUUGCAAAACUC
rnacentral:lncRNA from 1 species